rnacentral:tRNA from 1 species
GCACGGGUGCCAGAGGUUAAUGGGCUGGUUUUAAGCGCCAUAUAUGGGGUUGUUGUUCCCCCCGUGUG